UACGGGGGGGGCAAGCGUUGUUCGGAAUUACUGGGCGUAAAGGGCUCGUAGGUGGCCAACUAAGUCAGACGUGAAAUCCCUCGGCUUAACCGGGGAACUGCGUCUGAUACUGGUUGGCUUGAGUUUGGGAGAGGGAUGCGGAAUUCCAGGUGUAGCGGUGAAAUGCGUAGAUAUCUGGAGGAACACCGGUGGCGAAGGCGGCAUCCUGGACCGGCAUUGACGCUGAGGCGCGAAAGCCAGGGGAGCAAACGGG
rnacentral:rRNA from 1 species